rnacentral:rRNA from 1 species
UAAGGAAUCUUCCACAAUGGACGAAAGUCUGAUGGAGCAACACCGCGUGCAGGAUGACGGCCUUCGGGUUGUAAACUGCUUUUAUAUGGGAAGAUUAUGACGGUACCAUAUGAAUAAGGACCGGCUAACUACGUGCCAGCAGCCGCGGUAAUACGUAGGGUCCAAGCGUUAUCCGGAAUCACUGGGCGUAAAGCGUGCGUAGGUGGCGUGUUAAGUGUGAUGUUAAAUCGUGGGGCUCAACCCUGUCGGUGCAUCGCAUACUGGCAUGCUAGAGGGAAGCAGAGGCAAGUGGAAUUUGUAGUGUAGCAGUGAAAUGCGUAGAUAUUACAAGGAACACCAAUGGCGAAGGCAGCUUGCUGGGCUUCUUCUGACACUGAGGUACGAAAGCGUGGGGAGCGAACAGGAUUAGAUACCCCCGUAGUCCCUGAGCGGGCUGGCAAGGCGCAU